rnacentral:misc_RNA from 1 species
AACGCACAUUGCGCCUGCCAGCACUCUGGCAGGCAUGCCUGCUCGAGCGUCAUUUUAACCAUUAGGCUCUCUCUCUUAUUGGCUGGGUCUGUGUUGGGGCCCUGCAGCAUGCCUGCAGGCCCUGAAAACCAGUGGCGGGCUCGCAGUCGCCCCAAGCGUAGUAACAUUUAUCUCGUUUGUGGAGGCGCCUUGAGGCUCCUAGCCAUUAUUAAAACCACGCUCUGCGCGUGGGUGGAGGGUGGCAGCUAUGUCUCCCCAAAAGGUUGACCUCGGAUUAGGUAGGAGGACCCGCUGAACUUAA